CGCAGAGCGGGGACAGCCGUGGGGACGGUGCUGUGGGGUGGCGGCACAGCAGAGGCGGUGAGGAGCUGAUGGAGCGCACGGGGCAGGUAUGUGCGCCCCCACGGCCCCCCACGGCCCCCCACCCCCCGCUGCCGGUGGCGAUGAGGCGGUGGCCCAUCCGGCUGUGCUUGCAGAGCUGCCGUGGAAGCUGGGGGGGGCCGCGGGGGGCUCUCUGCUGCUCGUCGCGCUGAUCUCCCUCUGCUGCUGGCGCCGCAGGAGGAGGGCAGACACCCCGGACGUCUACGUGAACAUCGUAUCCCUCCGGACCCCGAGGAACAGGAGCCCCCAGGGAGCAGCUGCUGGAGGACAGCGCAUACAAAGGGGGCUGGACCGAGCGUGGGAGCCCCCCAGCCCUAAGGGGUGACCCCCCCCCACCCCCCGCCCCACAGCCCCCCGAUAUGGCAGGGAUGGGGUGUGAGCGAUGCGCUCCGUUCUGCUUCACACAGGAAGAGCCCGCAGUGGGGUUACAGC
rnacentral:lncRNA from 1 species